AUUAAGUUAAUAUAUAUUACCUUUAAGCCCAGGGUUCCAGAUCUUCCUUUGGGGAAUUAUUAAAUGUAUUUCUCCUCUCUUGAGCUUUACUUUGUUGCUCAUAUUUUCAUUUCCUUCAUUCUCUCCUUAUUCUGCCUUAUUUUUCUGCUUUUUGGAUCUCCCCCCCUUCUCAUUGAGUGUUUGGCGCCCUUUUGCGCCUGUUUCCUGUUUCGGCUAAACUCAUCACAAACCUGUGCCGUUCAACUGUUUUGCCACGAAUGGUUAUUUGUUCGACUGUUUUAUAGGAUACUGAACGUUCGUUAGUUUGUUCCCACAAAUUAAUCUUGUUUUGCCGAACGUUAGGUUUGCAAAUUGAACGCGUUCACAGG